AUUCCAGCUCCAAUAGCGUAUAUUAAAGUUGUUGCAGUUAAAAAGCUCGUAGUUGAACUUCUGAUAGUUGAUUUGGCUGGCUUCGGUCGCCUUGUUGGCUGUCAUCCGCUUGGGAAUUUCGUUCGGUCUUCAUUGAUUGGCGGGGGGAUCAAGCAUUUUACUUUGAAAAAAUUAGAGUGUUCAAGGCAGGCUAUCGCCAUGAAUACACAAGCAUGGAAUAAUGGAAUAGGACUCUCAGUCACUUUAUUGGUUAUUAACUGAAAGUAAUGAUUAAUAGGGAUAGUCGGGGGCAUUCGUAUUCAAACGACAGAGGUGAAAUUCUUGGACCGUUUGAAGACGAACUAAGGCGAAAGCAUUUGCCAAGAAUGUUUUCAUCA
rnacentral:rRNA from 1 species